GAUGAAGAACGUAGCGAAAUGCGAUACGUAAUGUGAAUUGCAGAUUUCAGUGAAUCAUCGAAUCUUUGAACGCACAUUGCGCCCGCUAGUAUUCUGGCGGGCAUGCCUGUUCGAGCGUCAUUUCAACCAUCAAGCCCCCGGGCCUGGCGUUGGGGAUCGGCGGAGCCCCCCGUGGGCACACGCCGUCCCCCAAAUGCAGUGGCGGUCCCGCCGCAGCUUCCAUCGCGUAGUAGCUAACACCUCGCGACUGGAGAGCGGCGCGGCCACGCCGUAAAACACCCAACUCUUCUGAAGUUGACCUCGAAUCAGGUAGGAAUACCCGCUGAACUUAAGCAUAUCAAUAAGCGGAGGA
rnacentral:misc_RNA from 1 species